rnacentral:rRNA from 1 species
CAGCAGUAGCCGCGGGAAUACGUAGGGUGCGAGCGUUAAUCGGAAUUACUGGGCGUAAAGCGUGCGCAGGCGGUUGUGUAAGACAGGUGUGAAAUCCCCGGGCUUAACCUGGGAACUGCGCUUGUGACUGCACAGCUAGAGUAUGGCAGAGGGGGGUGGAAUUCCACGUGUAGCAGUGAAAUGCGUAGAGAUGUGGAGGAACACCGAUGGCGAAGGCAGCCCCCUGGGCCAAUACUGACGCUCAUGCACGAAAGCGUGGGGAGCAAACAGGAUUAGAUACCCCGGUAGUCCCUGUCUCUUAUAC